CUCGUAGGCUGUUUGGUCAGUCAGACGUGAAAGCCCACGGCUUAACCGUGGAACUGCGUUUGAUACUGCCAGACUUGAGUGUCGGAGAGGGUGGCGGAAUUCCGGGUGUAGGAGUGAAAUCCGUAGAUAUCCGGAGGAACACCAGUGGCGAAGGCGGCCACCUGGACGACAACUGACGCUGAGGAGCGAAAGCGUGGGGAGCAAACAGGAUUAGAUACCCUGGUAGUCCACGCGGUAAACGAUGGAUGCUGGGUGUCGGGGGUUUACCCUCGGUGCCGCAGUUAACGCGUUAAGCAUCCCGCCGUGGGGAGUACGGUCGCAAGGCUAGAA
rnacentral:rRNA from 1 species